ensembl:sense_intronic 1110028F11Rik RIKEN cDNA 1110028F11 gene
GAGAGGCUUGAGCAAUUAGGAAACAACAGAGAGCUCAGAGUCCACAAAACAAACAAGUUAAGGGAUGCUUGGAAUAUUUGCACAUACAUGUGCCUUCCGCAUGAGGUCACAUAUAGACACCCUCCAGGCUGGGUGGGCUGCAGGCCCUUGGGAAGCAGAAACAGAGGCUGGCAGUGAUGAUCAUGGGCUUCAUGCGUAUCAACUUUUUUGAGUAUAAAGGAAAGAGAAAGAAAUUAAUUCAUCUCUCACAGUGAAGCUCAGGCCCAUCCCGCACCGUUCUUCCAUCCUGAAUGUAAAUGUGAUCCAUGAUACCGCCCAGGAGCAGGGAGACUGGGAGCAACCAAGUUUGAACCACAGAGUGUUACCCGUCCCCAUUCAACAGAUGGCAUCUACACGAUGGCCUGAGAGGACUUAGUUGCACCGGUCCAUUUGGAGACAGCACCUGCCCCUUCUGAGCUUUUCAGCUACAAAGGAAGCUGGCUGGAGAAGCCAGCAGCUGGAACGGAGCUGGAGACUAGGAGGCUGGAAGACACUGAAUGAGCGUGAAAUUGACCAGUUAAAGUUAAGCCCUUUCACCUGCUAGCACGGAAGCUCUGCUCACUGGUGCCACCGGAAGUUCAGAUGAGCCUCUGGCACAUUUAAAUAGAUACGCUGGUUUCCUUGGAUUUCAUUCAUUUCUUCUUUUUCUUUCUUUUGUUUUUGUUUGUUUGUUUAUUGCUGGUUUGGUUUGGUUUGGUUUGAGACAGAAUUUCUCUGUGUGGUUUUUGGGUGUCUUGGAAUUCCCAGAGAUCUGCCUGCUUCUGCCUUCUGGAAUUAAAGGCCCCUUCCCCCCCACAC